rnacentral:tRNA from 1 species
GGUCCCUUAGCUCAGCUGGAUAGAGCGCUGCCCUCCGAAGGCAGAGGCCAGAGGUUCGAAUCCUCUAGGGACCG